rnacentral:lncRNA from 1 species
AAUCUUGCUUAUGUGUGUCUUCUGUCUAGGCCAUGUGCACAGGGGGCAUUGAGAAAUAUCUCUGGACCAAUCACCUAAAAGAUGUGACUCUCCUCACUUGCCUGGACUCUGCUCAGAAUAGAGAUUUCGACACAUCAGUGGGUUCAACACCUAGGUGAUGCGGCUCUUCCUUCUUUUCUGGGCUCUUCCAUCAGAGAAGAUUGUGACAUUUUCUGAGCCCAGCACUCAAGUGAGGUGACUUGUCUCCCUGGACUCUCCCCACAGACAGCAUUGUGAAAUAUCUUUGGGAUCAUCACCUAGGUUACUGGGAUCUCAAUGUAGAUGUUAUGUCCAGACAGAGGCUGCUGUGAGCUGAAUCGUCUGCUUCCCAAAAUUCCUAUGUUGACACCUUAACCCCCAGCACCUAAGAAUGUGACUAUAUUUGGAGAUAGCAUCAUCACAGAGUCUCAGGGAUGUCUUUAUCAGCAGUAUGAAAAUGAACCAAUUCAUCCCACUUCACUGUUUGAAGAAAAACUGCUGGCUCUAUGGGGUCUUCAAUUUACUGAAUGAUUCCUAGAUGCCUGGCCCUAAUUCACUCAAGAGUCAAGAAAGGUGCCACCUUAUGGUGCUCACUGGGCGGUUGUGGAUGUCUAACCUCAGUGCUAGUCACACAGAACCUGAAGCCAGGCUGGCUGCUCCUGUAAAUGGCAUGGAAUCCCAGGGAAUAUCCUGCAUUCUCAGUGUCCAGCUGUCUGAUGCCACAGUUGUUUAUGAUGAUCGAGGACAACUACGUUUUUCUGAGGAGACUUACCACCUCAUGGCUGAGGAGUCUUGCAAUAAAGUGGCUGCUUCCAAUACCAGAUGGUAUCUCUACUGGGACAAAAUUAAAUUUCUGAAUUACUUUGAAGAAAAAUGAUGAUUGAGUGAUAUUGAGCAUUUCUACCUUAGAACAUGAUUUGGUUUUCCAUUUGUUUAUGCUGAUUUUCUUAUAUUUCAAGGACUUUUUAUGGUCUUUCUCAUAUGCUUAACAAAUGUUUGUUAGAUUUAUGUAUAGCUAGUUUAUUUUAUUUAGUCCUGUUAAAAAGUAAACUGUAGCACAAUACAAAUUUUAAAAGUUUUCUUGGCUGGGAAUGGUGGCUCAUAUCUGUGAUUCCAGCACUUUGAGAGGCCAGGUUGAGGGGAUUACUUGAGCCCAGAAGUUUGAGGCCAGCCUGGGAAAUAUAGUGAGACCCUGUCUCUACAAAAUACAAGAAGAAAUUAGCCAAGUGUGGUGGUGCAUGCCUGUAGUUGCAGCUACUCAUGGGGCUAAGGUGGGAGGAUGGCUUGAGCUCAGGAUGUAAGGCUGCAGAGAGCUUUGAUUCUGUGUACACACUCCAGCAUGGACAAUAGAGCAAGAACCCGUUUUAAAAAUAUUUUCUUGAGAAAGAAGCAACUUAUGAAUUGUGGAACACCAGAGCAAGAGAGGCUUUCCACUUCAACGGCAAAGUGUCAGAGUCAACAAGAUGAGGUCCCUGAGGAUGUCUAACUGAUUCUGUCCACUCGGGAAUGUUUCGGACUUGGUCUUCCUUUUAAUUUACUUUAUAAAUCAUUUUGUAAUUUUUAUCUCCUACUCAUUCUGUAACAGAUAUUGGAUUUCUUACAAGUUGAAGGCUUUUUGCAACCCUAUAUUGAGUGACUCUGUUAACACUAUUUUUCCAACAUCAUGUGACCUUUGUGUGUGUUUACAUCUGUGUCAGCUUUUUUUUGCAAUAAAGUAUAUUUUUAUUAAGGUAACACAACUGACCAGAAGAAAAACAGCCUAGAUCCUGAGCAUUCAGCCUGUGUCUUCACACAACAAACACCACCUGAGUCCCAUCAAAGCCUGUGUUGUUUCCCAACAUCCACCAUUGAGACAUAUUCCAGAGCAGCCUCUCAAAAUCACCUAAACAAGAUGGAACAAGUGUUGGACCAGUAAACAAUUCAUCUUUCUUAUCAAGGCAAAGGUGAGCUCUACCAUGCCGUGGCUCGCAGCCAUCACAAGUAUCGCUGCCAGGGUGAAUGUGAAAGGGUAACACAGUCUCUCCAAUUUUCACUUCAUGUCUAUGCUCAAGGACAUAAGGGUCACAUUUAGUUUGCAGCUGAACCAUCUGUUUUCCAUGAACAAUUGUUCCAUUUUGACUGCCUUUAUCUACAAGGACAUAACUUCGUUAAGUCAUGGUCAAAAUAAAUUUCUGCAUGAAAUUUACUGACUCCAACUUCAGGAUUCAAACAGUAUGCUCCAAAUCAUUUUCUCAGGUGAUAGACAGACAGACACUGAAUUGUUGACCUAUCCAAUAAUCAAUCAAUGCAUUACACAAAAUAAUAGGAUAAAGGAAAGUAACAGAAAGAUCCUUUCAACAGACACAGUGAGCAUUUGACCAAUUCAAUAUUCCUUCACAAUUAGUCUCCCUGGAAAGGAGGAGUAUAAGGAAACUUCCUAGAUCUGCUGAAGGGCAUCAAUGAAAAACUUACAGCUAACCCCAUAAUAAUAAAAUACUGGUUGUUGUGUCAUGACAUUUGAGAACAAGAGGAAAAGGUUAACAUCCAAAGAAAUUACAUAAGAAAAAUAAACACAGUCCUCCAUGUGGGAAAAUAAGAGGUUAGAAAUGUCUAUCAUUGUAGAUAACAUAACUUGAAUAUAAAAAUUUACAAGAAAUUCAUUAAAACCCACUAAAACCAAUAAAUGAGUUCAGCAUGGUCACAAUAUAUAAAAUCAAUAUACAAAGUUCAAUUGUAUUUUAUAUACUACCAUGACCAACCUGAAAAUAAAAUUAAGAAAACAAUUCCAUUUGUAUAUGUAUGAAAAAAAAAAAAAAAA